GACGAACGCUGGCGGCGUGCUUAACACAUGCAAGUCGAACGGUAAGGCCCUUCGGGUACGACGAGUGGCGAACGGGUGAGUAACACGUGGGUGAUCUGCCCUGCACUUCGGGAUAAGCCUGGGAAACUGGGUCUAAUACCGGAUAGGACCAUGGACUUCACGGUUUGUGGUGGAAAGCUUUUGCGGUGUGGGAUGGGCCCGCGGCCUAUCAGCUUGUUGGUGGGGUAAUGGCCUACCCAAAGGCGACGACGGGUAGCCGGCCUGAGAGGGUGUCCGGCCACACUGGGACUGAGAUACGGCCCA
rnacentral:rRNA from 1 species